rnacentral:tRNA from 1 species
GAGCCCGUGGCUCAAUGGUAGAGCGUUUGACUGAAAUGCUAAAGGUCGCGGGUUCAAAUCCCAUGUGUUCC